rnacentral:rRNA from 1 species
GUCCACGCCGUAAACGGUGGGUGCUAGGUGUAGGGGGUAUUCCACGCCCUCUGUGCCGCAGCUAACGCAUUAAGCACCCCGCCUGGGGAGUACGGCCGCAAGGCUAAAACUCAAAGGAAUUGACGGGGGCCCGCACAAGCAGCGGAGCAUGUGGCUUAAUUCGACGCAACGCGAAGAACCUUACCAAGGCUUGACAUACACCGAAAACUCAUAGAGAUAUGGGGUCCGCAAGGGCGGUGUACAGGUGGUGCAUGGUUGUCGU